rnacentral:rRNA from 1 species
UGGGGAAUUGUUCGCAAUGGGCGCAAGCCUGACGACGCAACGCCGCGUGGAGGAUGAAGAUUUUCGGAUCGUAAACUCCUGUCGAAUGGGACGAAUAGAUUGCGGGUUAACAGCCCGCGGUCCUGACGGUACCGUUAAAGGAAACCCCGGCUAACUCCGUGCCAGCAGCCGCGGUAAUACGGGGGGGGUAAGCGUUGUUCGGAAUUACUGGGCGUAAAGGGCGCGUAGGCGGUUGGAUAAGUCAGCUGUGAAAACCACGGGCUUAACUCGUGGCCUGCAGUUGAGACUGUCUGGCUUGAGUGUGGGAGAGGAGAGUGGAAUUCCUGGUGUAGCGGUGAAAUGCGUAGAUAUCAGGAGGAACACCGGUGGCGAAGGCGGCUCUCUGGACCACAACUGACGCUGAGGCGCGAAAGCUAGGGGAGCAAA